rnacentral:rRNA from 1 species
GAGUUUGAUCGUGGCUCAGAACGAACGCUGGCGGCAUGCUUAACACAUGCAAGUCGAACGUGAUCUUACCUUCGGGUAAGUGAAAGUGGCGGACGGGUGAGUAACGCGUAGGAACCUACCUUUGGGUACGGGAUAACUCAGGGAAACUUGUGCUAAUACCGUAUGAUGCCUCCGGGCCAAAGAUUUAUCGCCCAUAGAUGGGCCUGCGUCGGAUUAGGUAGUUGGUGGGGUAAAGGCCUACCAAGCCUACGAUCAGUAACUGGUGUGAGAGCACGACCAGUCACACGGGCACUGAGACACGGGCCCGACUCCUACGGGAGGCAGCAGUAAGGAAUAUUGGUCAAUGGACGCAAGUCUGAACCAGCCAUGCCGCGUGGAGGAUGAAGGUCCUCUGGAUUGUAAACUUCUUUUAUCUGGAAGAAAUCCACUUUUUCUAGGGUGGUUGACGGUACCAGAUGAAUAAGCACCGGCUAACUCCGUGCCAGCCGCCGCGGUAAU